UACGUACUGUGCGAACGUUAUUCGGAAUCACUGGGCUUACAGGGUGCGUAGGCGGCCUGAUAAGUAGGGUGUGAAAGCCCCCGGCUCAACCGGGGAAUGGCGCCCUAAACUGUCGGGCUGGAGUGAGAUAGGGGUGUGCGGAACUUCCGGUGGAGCGGUGAAAUGUGUUGAUAUCGGAAGGAACGCCGGUGGCGAAAGCGGCACACUGGAUCUCAACUGACGCUGAGGCACGAAAGCCAGGGGAGCGAACGGG
rnacentral:rRNA from 1 species